rnacentral:tRNA from 1 species
GCCGAAGUGGUGGAACUGGUAGACACGCUGUCUUGAGGGGGCAGUGGGGGAAACCUCGUGCGGGUUCGAGUCCCGCCUUCGGCACAA